CCUGCGCACGCCUGGCUGGAAAGGCACUACGGCGUCACCGUCCAGUGCUCCCAACCUACCUGUUUAGUCUCUUAAUUCGCUACCUUUAGCAAUCGAUCAAAUAACUAAUCGGCCCUGUACCAGGAACCUGGGUGCACAGGUGACCAAGACGCAGCCCGCGCCUCCCCCCGAGGCUCACGGCCUGGAAAUGGCGUUUCCCUGCAGCCUCCGGACCUGGCUGACCGCUUCCGAGAAUCCGCAGUUGGAGAAACGAUCCCAGACAGCAGAGUGGUGUCAUGUCAUAUCGACAGCCCCCGAUCUUUUCUUCGAAGGAAAGGCAUUCCGUUUCGCAGCGACCGUCCAGCUUCUGACAGCGAACGAGCCUUUGAUUUCCGCCCCUGGCUGAGCGAAGAAAGAAGGUAGCCCUCAGUUACCAGGAAUUAGUUACUGGAAGAGAAAAUCACAGCACCCGGGCCAAGUUCAGAAUUCCCCGUUAGGAAUGGCCCUGGGCCAGAGUAUUGAUCUCCAAUAGGCAGGUGUCCCCUGAACAGCUGGGCCUGGGUUCAGAUCCCUGUGCAUGUCCCGAUGUGAUUCUUCAGAAAAACAAUCAAAAGUGUUCCCUCUGUCGUAAUCAUGUCUAGGAGAUAAGAAAUGGAAUAUCUUCCCGGGAGAGCAGCAGUAUACUUUCUAGUUUCAAUAAACAGUUAUGUCCAACAAA